rnacentral:rRNA from 1 species
GACGAACGCUGGCGGCGUGCUUAACACAUGCAAGUCGAGCGGUAAGGCCCUUUCGGGGGCACACGAGCGGCGAACGGGUGAGUAACACGUGGGUGACCUGCCCUCAGCUCUGGGAUAAGCCUGGGAAACCGGGUCUAAUACCGGAUAUGACUCCAUGACGCAUGUUGUGGGGUGGAAAGCCUUGUGCGGCUGAGGAUGGGCCCGCGGCCUAUCAGCUUGUUGGUGGGGUGANGGCCUACCAAGGCGACGACGGGUAGCCGGCCUGAGAGGGCGACCGGCCACACUGGGACUGAGACACGGCCCAGACUCCUACGGGAGGCAGCAGUGGGGAAUCUUGCGCAAUGGGCGAAAGCCUGACGCAGCGACGCCGCGUGAGGGAUGACGGCCUGGUU